CUGGGAGGAAAAGAAACUUCUCCCUGAAUCCGGCCGUAGCGUAGUAGUUUCAAUUCAGUUUUGACAACAAAACUGUUGCCGGGUCGUAUUUUGACGAUCCGGUUCUAUAACAAAAAGGUUCUUAAGUGAACCAGCACAAAGGAGUAGUACAAAAUGGCAGAAGGAACAGUAAAAUGGUUUAAUGAUGCAAAAGGUUUUGGUUUUAUUGAGGAAGAUGGUGGCAAGGAUGUCUUUGUUCAUCAUUCAGCAAUUCAGAGUGAUGGCUUCAAGUCUCUCGAUGAAGGUGCACGAGUGACCUUUGAUGUUGUUGAUGGUCCCAAGGGACCAGCCGCAGAGAAUGUUGUCCAACAGUAAGACCCUAUUUGACAAGAGAAAAAAGACCUCGCAUUUAGUGGGGUCUUUUUUG
rnacentral:sRNA from 1 species